rnacentral:rRNA from 1 species
GCGGAGUCCCGUAGGGACGUAGGUCACGAUUUCACACUGCCAAGAAAAGCCUCUAGUGAGGGGGAAGGCGCCAGUACCGUAAACCGACACAGGUAGGCGAGAUGAGAAUUCUAAGACGCGCGGGAUAACUCUCGUUAAGGAACUCGGCAAAAUGGUCCCGUAACUUCGGGAGAAGGGACGCUCUACAUGAGUAGAGCCGCAGUGAAUAGGCCCAAACGACUGUUUAGCAAAAACACAGGUCUCUGCUAAAUCGCAAGAUGACGUAUAGGGGCUGACGCCUGCCCGGUGCUGGAAGGUUAAGGGGAUGGGUUAGCGCAAGCGAAGCUUUGAACCGAAGCCCCAGUAAACGGCGGCCGUAACUAUAACGGUCCUAAGGUAGCGAAAUUCCUUGUCGGGUAAGUUCCGACCCGCACGAAAGGCGUAACGAUUUGGGCACUGUCUCAACGAGAGACCCGGUGAAAUCAUAGUACCUGUGAAGAUGCAGGUUACCCGCGACAGGACGGAAAGACCCCAUGGAGCUUUACUACAGCCUGAUAUUGAGGCUUUGUGCAUGAUGUACAGGAUAGGCGGGAGACGUCGAGCCCGGAGCGCCAGCUUCGGAGGAGUCACCCUUGGGAUACCGCCCUUCAUGCAUAGAGUCUCUAACUCGCAGCCGUCAUCCGGCUGGAGGACCGUGUCAGGCGGGUAGUUUGACUGGGGCGGUCGCCUCCUAAACAGUAACGGAGGCGCCCAAAGGUUCCCUCAGAAUGGUUGGAAAUCAUUCGUAGAGCGCAAAGGCAGAAGGGAGCUUGACUGCGAGACCUACAAGUCGAGCAGGGACGAAAGUCGGGCUUAGUGAUCCGGUGGUUCCGCAUGGAAGGGCCAUCGCUCAACGGAUAAAAGCUACCCUGGGGAUAACAGGCUGAUCUCCCCCAAGAGUCCACAUCGACGGGGAGGUUUGGCACCUCGAUGUCGGCUCAUCGCAUCCUGGGGCUGGAGUAGGUCCCAAGGGUUGGGCUGUUCGCCCAUUAAAGCGGUACGCGAGCUGGGUUCAGAACGUCGUGAGACAGUUCGGUCCCUAUCCGUCGUGGGCGCAGGAAAUUUGAGGAGAGCUGUCCUUAGUACGAGAGGACCGGGAUGGACGCACCGCUGGUGUACCAGUUGUUCCGCCAGGAGCAUCGCUGGGUAGCUACGUGCGGACGGGAUAAAUGCUGAAAGCAUCUAAGCAUGAAGCCCCCUCCAAGAUGAGAUUUCCCUUUGAGUAAUCAAGAAAGACCCCUCAGAGACGAUGAGGUAGAUAGGUCACGGGUGGAAGCAUGGCGACAUGUGGAGCUGAGUGAUACUAAUCGGUCGAGGCCUUGUUCUA